GACCCUGCCCGAGCCCACCUGGGCACCUGCACGAGCCCACCUGGUCACCCACUUUGCCCCCCGUGCAGGGACUCCCGGGGCCAGCUGGCGCAGAGGGGCAGAAGGUGAGUCCAGCCCACCUGUGGGUCCUGGCAUGGCAGCAGGGACACCUGGGAUGGUGGCAGAGGUACCAGGACCUGCCAGUCCCAACCUGGGUAGCUUGUGUGACACCACGGGUGGCUCCACAGGUGACAUCUGUCUGUCCUGCAGGGCCAGAAGGGCGAGAAGGGUGACGGGGGACUGCAGGGCAAGCCGGGGCGCCCCGGGCGUGACGGCCGGCCUGGAGAGAUCUGCGUGGUGGGGCCCAAGGGCCAGAAGGGUGACCCGGGCCUCGUGGGACCUGAGGGGCUGGCGGGUGAACCAGGACCCCCAGGCAAGCCAGGCUCUCCAGGGAUUGGCAUUCCAGGGAAGCCGGGUGACCCCGGUGGCCCCCCAGGUGCGAAGGGAGAGAAGGGCAGCCCGGGAGCUCCUGGACCCGGAGGAUCGCCUGGGACACCCGGUCUCCCCGGAGUCCUGGGGCCGAAAGGAGACAAGGUGGGUACAGUGACAGGGUGGGUGCAGUGACAGGGUGGCUGGGAUGACAAGGUGGGUGCGGUG
rnacentral:lncRNA from 1 species